CAACAGGGAUUGCCUCAGUAACGGCGAGUGAAGCGGCAACAGCUCAAAUUUGAAAUCUGGCUCUCGGGCCCGAGUUGUAAUUUGUAGAGGAUGCUUUUGGUGCGGUGCCUUCCGAGUUCCCUGGAACGGGACGCCAUAGAGGGUGAGAGCCCCGUCUGGUUGGACGCCAAUCCUCUGUAAAGCUCCUUCGACGAGUCGAGUAGUUUGGGAAUGCUGCUCUAAAUGGGAGGUAUAUGUCUUCUAAAGCUAAAUACCGGCCAGAGACCGAUAGCGCACAAGUAGAGUGAUCGAAAGAUGAAAAGAACUUUGAAAAGAGAGUUAAAAAGUACGUGAAAUUGUUGAAAGGGAAGCGCUUGUGACCAGACUUGGGCUUGGUUGAUCAUCCAGGGUUCUCCCUGGUGCACUCUUCCGGCCCAGGCCAGCAUCAGUUCGCCCCGGGGGAAAAAGGCUUCGGGAAUGUGGCUCCCUCGGGAGUGUUAUAGCCCGCUGCGCAAUACCCUGCGGCGGACUGAGGUUCGCGCUCCGCAAGGAU
rnacentral:rRNA from 1 species